rnacentral:rRNA from 1 species
GUAAUGCCGGAUGCUCCAGCUUUUCGCAUGGUUUUUUGGGAAAGCUUUCGCGGUAUGGGAUGGGGUCGCGUCCUAUCAGCUUGACGGCGGGGUAACGGCCCACCGUGGCUUCGACGGGUAGCCGGCCUGAGAGGGCGACCGGCCACAUUGGGACUGAGAUACGGCCCAGACUCCUACGGGAGGCAGCAGUGGGGAAUAUUGCACAAUGGGCGCAAGCCUGAUGCAGCGACGCCGCGUGAGGGAUGGAGGCCUUCGGGUUGUAAACCUCUUUUAUCGGGGAGCAAGCGAGAGUGAGUUUACCCGUUGAAUAAGCACCGGCUAACUACGUGCCAGCAGCCGCGGUAAUACGUAGGGUGCAAGCGUUAUCCGGAAUUAUUGGGCGUAAAGGGCUCGUAGGCGGUUCGUCGCGUCCGGUGUGAAAGUCCAUCGCUUAACGGUGGAUCCGCGCCGGGUACGGGCGGGCUUGAGUGCGGUAGGGGAGACUGGAAUUCCCGGUGUAACGGUGGAAUGUGUAGAUAUCGGAAAAGAA